CCCUUAGAUGUUCUGGGCCGCACGCGCGCUACACUGACGAAUGCAACGAGCUUAUAACCUUGGCCGAAAGGUCUGGGUAAUCUCCAAAUUUCGUCGUGAUGGGGAUAGAAUAUUGCAAUUAUUAAUCUUCAACGAGGAAUGCCUAGUAAGCGCAAGUCAUCAGCUUGCGUUGAUUACGUCCCUGCCCUUUGUACACACCGCCCGUCGCUCCUACCGAUUGAAUGGUCCGGUGAAGCGUUCGGACCGUGGCCUUUGGACGGUUCGCCGUCUGUUGGCUGCGGGAAGUUCGUUAAACCUUAUCAUUUAGAGGAAGGAGAAGUCGUAACA
rnacentral:rRNA from 1 species